rfam:Schistosoma margrebowiei strain Zambia genome assembly, scaffold: SMRZ_scaffold0000474
AUCCAGCUGACGAAUCCGAAAUAAGACGAAACGCUUGUCAAACUGGAU